UACGUAGGAGACGAGCGUUGUCCGGAAUUACUGGGCGUAAAGCGCGUGUAGGCGGGCGUGCAAGUCUGCUGUGAAAGCUCCUGGCUUAACCGGGAGUGGUCGGUGGAAACUGCACACCUGGAGGACGGUAGAGGUAGGUAGAAUUCCCGGUGUAGUGGUGAAAUGCGUAGAGAUCGGGAGGAACACCUGUGGCGAAAGCGGCGCACUGGACCACAUCUGACGCUGAGGCGCGAAAGCUAGGGGAGCAAACAGG
rnacentral:rRNA from 1 species